rnacentral:rRNA from 1 species
AGCCUUUAGCAAUUAUAUUAUUAAAGGUACUGCCUGCCCAGUGAAAUACUUAAACGGCCGCGGGAUCCUCCACCGUGCAAAGGUAGCAUAAUCACUUGUUCUCUAAAUAAGGACUAGUAUGAACGGCCAUAUGAGGCUUCUCCUGUCUCUUGUAGCUCAUCAAUGAAACUGAUCUUUCAGUACAAAAGCUGAAAUAAAAUUAUAAGACGAAAAGACCCUGUGGAACUUUAACCGGCCGCCAACACCACAUGGCCCACCCGCUUUUAGUUGGGGCAACUAUGGAAUACAACAAAACUUCCACACCCAAUUCACUAGGUGGACACACCCAUCCUACCCUAUUGACCCAGUCUAUGCACACGACUGAAUAAAGAACCAAGCUACCCCAGGGAUAACAGCGCCAUCCCCUCCUAGAGCUCCCAUCGACGAGGGGGUUUACGACCUCGAUGUUGGAUCAGGACUCCCAAACAGUGCAGCAGCUGUUAACGGUUUGUUUGUUCAACAACUAAUGUCCU